AACAAGAUAAGAGGUCGCAAAAACCAAGAGUAAGUCUUUUCAGUUGAUUAAGCAACGAUGAGGAAGGGUGAAAGGGGAAUUUGCCGAAAUGUCGGUUGGCUUAAUGCAAUUGAUGUUGGGACUUGGUUGAAUAAAUCAAGAACUGUCGCAACAAAUUGUUGCGGGGCGCUAUCAACGG
rnacentral:ncRNA from 3 species